GUACGCAUGAAAAACUUGUGUUAGACAGUUACCAGCCUCACAGUGAUCUGACUCGUUUUUCUGUUUAAAACAUUCUGAAACUUCUAUGGAGACUUAUCUGAUGCCACCUAUAUAUAAUGACCUAGAUUUUAAAAACAGUUGGGAAGCAGACGUCUGGAAAUCUGCUGUGAAUUUUAACAUUUUCCAUACAAAGAUCGAGUGUUAACCUGCAGUUUGUUUUCCCAUUAGGAAAGACUGAAAUGCUUUCAGGACUUCUCAGCUGUAUAAUGAGGAUCAUCUUGUUUGGGAUAUAACCACGGAGUAACAACAGGGUCAUGCUUUCUCUGUCGGAUUCCUGUCUCAAAGGAGAUCCAGGUAAGCACCACUCUAAAGUCAUUAAUACCUGAUAACUGCAUAGUUGUCUGUGUGGCAUUAUCUUCUCUGUUUAUUUGCAUACGGGUGUCAGUGUCACCAAAUCCAGUGGCACCAUUAGUGCCUGCUGGCCGAGUUAUCACAGUGACCAACAAAUUAAGUGGCAAAGAGAAUGAACUACUUUGCCAAGAGGAAGCAGUCAAAAUAAAGCAGACAUGAUGAUUAGGAUCAAGCGCUCUGGAGGUUGGCUUCCCCUCUCCUCGGAUUAAAAGGCUUCAGUCGGCAGGUUUGUCUUCCCAGCUCUAUUCCCUGGAACUCACUCAACCAUCCAAAGCGUGGACUAUGUGAAGUGGCAUUUCUAGAGUUCAGCAGGCAGGCUGCCAAAAGAAUCUCUUCUACUCCCACUUUAACAUAAAUUUCUAUGAGUUGGGGAAACCAAAUUAAGCAAUCGUAUCAAAGGGAACUGCUGGCAGAAAAUAUUUGGGGGGGGGAAAAAAAAAGAAGAAGAAGAAAAAAGGAAAUUGAAAUGUUUCCUUUUGAAUUUUAAAUAGGAAAAAUAUCCCAGAGCCUCAGAGCCUCGCAGGUCAGUAGAACAAUAAGGAGUAAACCUUAAAAAAAUAAAUAAUCUAGUAGGGGGAAAACAAGGAAAUUUGUAAAAAUAAGCAAAGCAAGUUAAAGGGUAAUUAGUGAGAUAAAUAGUACUGAAUUCCAAAAAAACAUUUCAGAUGACAGCAAAGGGACACAAAUAUGUUUCUAGUGGAAGCAAACCAAAGAUAACUAAAAAUUGGUCCAUGGGAGCAUAAUUGGCUUGAUUGUCACAGCUAUUUAAAGAAGAGCUUUUAGAUUAUGAAAACAGUUGUGUGAAACUACUACAAAGGCUCAUUAAAAUAAAGCAGGCAUUUCUGCAGGCUGCUAAUGAGAGUUUCCAAGGAAAAAGUUUGAUUCUCCAAUUAGUUCUUGAAAACCUGUCUGCAGAGCUUUUGGAAACCAGCGUAUACAUGCAUCAGAGGGAAGUGGAAUUUACUAUCUGCACUCUUCUCCCACUGUUUCACUGAAACCUUUGUGAAUCUCAGCCUCGUUGUGAAAUCAGUGCUUGUUCUCAUUCCUGCAAAGCUCUCAAGUGCAAUCCCUGUUACACAAACAAGCCCGACAUCAGACACAACAGUUAUGUCUUGAGAAAUAUUCGGCUAGAUCAUCUUUCACCAGGGCAAAUGAAGACCAGGAAAGGUAAAACACUACAAAUAAAGUGUGUUAUCCAUAUUAGCAGAUGUCGGAGAACAAUCUGCAUGAUAGCAGGAAUCUUGAAUACGGUCAGGACAAAUCUUGAAGUGAUUACUGUUGUGCAGAAUUAUCCACUAGCAGGCCCAUGCUAUGAAUCAGAACAUACCGGAUGCUUGUUCAGAUGCAUCUUUGCAAAAAUGAAGCCUAGCACUGUGAAUUUUACAGCUUCAGCUUCUCAGAAGAACAUGCUUUGAACCGCUGCCCAUAAAUAUUUGGUGGUUACUCUUGCAACACUUUGUAUUUCCUGGCAGCAGUCCUCUUAGUAUGGGCUGGUGUUCUUCCAGUCUGUUCAAGACCAGCAUCAGAGGGGACUUCCACUUGAUUUAUUGUGACCUCAUGGCAGAACGUGCUUUUUUUGGAUGAGGUAUGCAUCAAGGGCAUUGAGUGGUCAAUGGAACGAACAGGUGGGAAAAGAAAGAUCUGCAGCAGUGCAGAGGACACACAGAGCCUGAGCAGAAGGCAAGCAGAAGUUGGGGACAGACAGAAAACCAGCGGUGCCAGACCUGAAGCUUUAAUAUCACCUGAGUAACAUCCAGUAAUUUUCACUUAGCAAUAGUUUCUUAUAAUUGCAAGAAAUAAGUUUUUCCAAAGCUUCUCAUCCAUUAAUGCACUUUUACAGAGGAGAAUUUGCACCUCACAAAAGCCAAGAUGGUGUUGGUGGCAGCAGAAUACUUUGUAUCUAAUUAUUUUUUUUUUUUACUGGAAAAGGAACUACACUUUUUUAAUGAAUAUUGUAGUUUCCAAAAAUGGUAGUUAUUGCUUAUCAUAUAUUCCAUCAUUGUUUAAGAAUAACUCAAGUGAUAAAAACCCCUAAUCACAACACCUUCCAGAAGAAUAAAGACUUGACCAUCCUGUAGUUUACAAAGUCAUCUUCCCAACAAUUUAUAGUUCAUUCACUCCACAAACAUGACAAGAAUCAAUCUCCACAAGCUAAAUGAAUGACAUCCUCUGUGAACAUGUCAGCCCCCAGCCAUCUGCAGCAGGCCUGAGAAAACAGGCGGUGGUAUAACCCAGAAGGUCAAUGAACUGAAGCUUUCCGACCUGCACUCGUUUGGAGCUGAGGGAGAAGCAAGGACCUCCAGGCUGGGUACGUGUGGAGCUCUGUGAAAGUCGGUUUGCUGAGGAAGAAAGCCUUAAAAACACUCCUCCAUUUUUUGAUGUGUUGUUUUGUAUUGAAUAAAAGCGCUCUGUUGUAGAAAAUUAAAGUUUCAUUUAAAAGAUGAAAAUGAGGAGGGGAGGACGGACCUGGACAGGAAAACUCCAAAGCAGAGAAAUACCUCUUCAGCUCACACUGGGAAAAGAUAAAACAGAAACCAGGUUGGCCCAAUCUCAUCUUCAUUUCCUAACUGAUUGCGUCAGCCAUCAAACACCGCAGCAAGGGUGGGGACCUCACUGCCCUGGGGUCAUACGGCCUCUGCCCCAGUGGCUGCCAUGCUGAGGGGCAAAUGGCUCCUUCGUGGCACUGUAUCUCUGUGAAUCUAAUCUGACCUCCAUGCAAAACUGCCAGCUUGGUAUUUGCUAGCUCAGGUGCUGCUAUCACCUCCAUGUUGACAGAAAGAUAUACCGGUAAUGGCUGGGACUCUGCGGUGAGCACUGCCAACCUCCGUACCAAGGGGAAUGAAUUGCAGGAUUGGGGCCCACUAUGAAGCACAUAAAAGGGAUCUAGAAAAGUGCUGGAGCCCAGGCAGCAUUAGAUAAACGGUGGUGAGAAAGCCUGCAUUUAUAGCACUAAUGUAGCUGUGUUUCCUGAAAAAAAAAAAAAAAGAGAACAAGAAAUUCCCCAGUGUAGGCAUACUUAUUGUUUGCCAAAAAGCAUUCUGAAUUCCUCAAUAAUCAGUCAGGAAGCGGUAAAAUCUGUCAGACAAAUGACCAAUAUGUUAUUUUUUCCAAUAUCAAAUAUAUAUUUUAGGUCAUUACUAUUAGAGAAAAACAUUUCGUGGCCAAUGCAAUUUAUUUUUUCAGCGAUACUGAAUCUGUGAGUCAUACACAGCGAACGGAACCUCUGUGCACACACACACACAAAACCAUUUUAAGGACUUUGUUUCAGUCCAGACCAGUACUUUGCCUUGUAGAUGCAUCAGCUGCUGGCACUCGCUGUUCUUUCUAAAAAUUGCACAGGUAGAAAUUGUGUUGGUGUUUUCCCAUUCAAGUAAUCAGAAAAGUGGAAUUAAUUAUAAUAGCUAUAAUGUUUGUGCUGCCUGUAGACACCUGGAUUUCCCAUAAUAAACUUUCACAAAAUGUUUAAGAUAAUUUCGGACUUUAUUUGGUCACUUUGUGUGAUUGCUUUUGUUUAAUUUCCUCUGUGACAGAAGGCAAAGUGCUGACUUUGUAUCAGAAUAGGUCUACUAGCUUUGGAUGGCUGUUCUGAGGACCUCUUGUGAAGUUUUCCUAUUCUCUCCAUUGGAGAGGAUCUUUCUUUUUCUCUGAUGGGUGCAAAUUAGUAGGACUCACCUGGCGUUGCUGUUGGAGUUGAAUCAGCAGAGUAACACUGCGAUUCUUUCCAGCUUCUUUGCUCGUAGAUAAAAAGAAAACAGAAUGCUAGCUUAAUAACCUUUCCCCAUUGUGCCCCAGAGGUUGGGCAUAUUGCCAUACACGGAUGUUAUCAAAAAUUGAAUCAUUUUAUAAAUAAACUGUGAAUUAACAGCUGUCUGGAUAAAUGUAUGCUUUGGUCCAAGACUGAUGUAUUCCAUUCUUUGAGAAUGUUCUCCAAAUAAAUUGAAUGUUUUCAUUUUGUACUUUGUUAUGAUUUAUCACAUUGUGGUUUAUUUUAAGCCUUUGAAUGCUUUCUCUUCCAUUUGCUGAACUUCAGAUACGGAAUGAAAAUACCCUUGGCUGCACAGUCUCCCCUCCAUGUUUUGAAGAAGCCACGUAGCUAUCACAAUGGAUUAAGACAUCCUACAUUAAAAACCUGUGUCACUUCUGCAACUGUGUGCAUUUAUGCAACAAGACAUCAGUAGCUAAUGGGUCCAUCUAAGACAUUAAGUUGAAUGGACACUUUUUUUCAUAGCGGUGGUAAUUAUGAAUACUCUGAGAAAGGCUUCUUUGCCAAUUGUAUCCCAAGAAAAUCAAAUAGUGUUCUCUUGCAAAAAAAAUUUAAAUAAAUAAAAAAGCUUGGCAAAUCUUCAGCCAUCUUAUUCCAUUACAUACCAUUAAGAAAAACAGUGGCUUGUUUAUUCACUGGAAGUUAAAUAUGUGUACAGUAGAUCUUUUGAAAGUCCCUAAAUACUGCUUUAGCCUGCUGUGUGUCAAAUGCAUGGCCUCAAGCAAAGUGCUUUUCUAAAAGGUUACUUUUCUGUCUAUCUGCUGUGGACAACCCAUAGCACUAAUAGGUAAAUAAUCAAAGAAAUGCGAUGAUCUUGAAUUCUUUCAAAUAGAAUUACCACAGCCACCUUUCCUUUCUGAACUCAGACACAGCAGAGUUGUGGGGAUAUCCAUCCAUCCAUAAGGAAAGAGUUUGUUUUGGUCAGCAUCCC
ensembl:lncRNA